UACAGAGGUCCCAAGCGUUGUUCGGAAUUACUGGGCGUAAAGGGCGCGCAGGCGGCUUGGCAAGUCGAGCGUGAAAUACCUCAGCUUAACUGAGGAACGGCGCUCGAAACUACCUCGCUUGAGGGCGGGAGAGGGAAGUGGAACUCUCGGUGUAGGGGUGAAAUCUGUAGAUAUCGAGAGGAACACCGGUGGCGAAGGCGGCUUCCUGGCCCGUACCUGACGCUGAGGCGCGAAAGCGUGGGGAGCAAACAGG
rnacentral:rRNA from 1 species